CCUACGGGCGGCAGCAGUGAGGAAUAUUGGUCAAUGGGCGCGAGCCUGAACCAGCCAAGUCGCGUGAGGGAAGACGGUCCUAUGGAUUGUAAACCUCUUUUGUCGGGGAGCAAAAGACGCCACGCGUGGCGUUCCGAGAGUACCCGAAGAACAAGCAUCGGCUAACUCCGUGCCAGCAGCCGCGGUAAUACGGAGGAUGCGAGCGUUAUCCGGAUUUAUUGGGUUUAAAGGGUGCGCAGGCGGAAGAUCAAGUCAGCGGGAAAAUUGAGAGGCUCAACCUCUUCGAGCCGUUGAAACUGGUUUUCUUGAGUGAGUGAGAAGUAUGCGGAAUGCGUGGUGUAGCGGUGAAAUGCAUAGAUAUCACGCAGAACUCCGAUUGCGAAGGCAGCAUACCGGCGCUCAACUGACGCUCAUGCACGAAAGUGUGGGUAUCGAACAGGAUUAGAUACCCUGGUAGUC
rnacentral:rRNA from 1 species